AGUGAACGCUGGCGGUAGGCCUAACACAUGCAAGUCGAACGGCAGCACAGUAAGAGCUUGCUCUUACGGGUGGCGAGUGGCGGACGGGUGAGGAAUACAUCGGAAUCUACUUUUUCGUGGGGGAUAACGUAGGGAAACUUACGCUAAUACCGCAUACGACCUACGGGUGAAAGCAGGGGAUCUUCGGACCUUGCGCGAUUGAAUGAGCCGAUGUCGGAUUAGCUAGUUGGCGGGGUAAAGGCCCACCAAGGCGACGAUCCGUAGCUGGUCUGAGAGGAUGAUGAGGCAGACGGGAAGUGAGACAGGGGCCAGACGCCUACGGGAGGCAGCAGUGGGGAAUAUUGGACAAUGGGCGCAAGCCUGAUGCAGCCAGACCGCGUGGGUGAAGAAGGCCUUCGGGUUGUAAAGCCCUUUUGUUGGGAAAGAAAAGCAGCAGGUUAAUACCCCGCUGUUCUGACGGUACCCAAAGAAUAAGCACCGGCUAACUUCGUG
rnacentral:rRNA from 1 species